rnacentral:rRNA from 1 species
AGUGAACGCUGGCGGUAGGCCUAACACAUGCAAGUCGAACGGCAGCGCAGUAAGUUCUUGCUCUUACGGGUGGCGAGUGGCGGACGUGUGGCGUAUGCAACGGACUCUACUUUUUCGUGGGGCUUUACGUAGGGAAACUUACGCCAACACCGCAUACGUCCUACCAUUGAAAGCAUGUAAACUUCGCACCUUGUGCGAUUCAAUGAGCCGCUGUCGGAUUAGCUCGUUGGCGGGGUACAGGCCCACCAGGGCGACGAUCCGUAGCUGGUCUGAGAGGAUGAUCAGCCACACUGGACCGGAGACACGGUCAAGACUCCUACGGGAGGAAGCAGUGGGGAACAUUGGAAAAUGGGGGAAAGCCGGACGCAGCAAUACGGCGGAGGUGAGGAAGGCCUCGGGUUUGUAAAGUCCGUUGGUUGGGAAGGAAGAGUAGGAGGGUAGAACGCUGACGUUGUGACGGUACCUAAAGAAAAAGCACCGGCUAACUACGUG